CCGUUUUCUUAUUUGCUUGCCACCUUCUUUCGUCCCGCAUCGAUGUUUCACGAUGCCUCUCUUAUGUUCCUCACGAAAAUACGAUGCCGAGUGUUAAGCUCCGUUUAUCGACGCUCGUAAAUCUUUCGCAACAACGGAAUAACGAUUCCGAUUUAAGUAUUACAGUUUAUAAUGUUUCUUAUUUGGGAAAGUAUUGAUGAACAUUAACAAAUAUAUACACACGUUAAAUGUAUAUAAAUAUAUAAGUUAUUUAUAUUUGUUUAUUCUCUUGAUAUUUUCAACAAUCUGAAAUUGAUCGAAAUGUUGAUUGUUUUCAAAAUGAUUCGAAGAACAGGUGUCUCGGGAACGCUAUUGCAAUCGCGGUACUAUCGACGUUGGACCUAAAAAUAAAGUCACGAGUGUCGAGCAUCUCGAUUGACGCAACUAUGAAACUUGCCAACCUUUUCUCAGCGAUGGAUUGUCAGUAUCCGAGGCUUCUCUGUGUCAUCAAAUACGCGUAAAGAGUAAUUUACUUCGUGGUUUCUACAUUAAUAAACCGACGGAUAGAUGGGACGCAUCCUACAGGUGCCUGAACGCGGUUUCGAUGGAACGUGUCGCGUAAAACGUGUAUUUUCGGCGUACUUGGAGAAGCUCCAGGUGCGGAGGAGGAAGUACGUGUAAACCGAAGAAAACAGAGAGGCUGGAUGGAUGGCCAGACCACUUUCUUCUUCAAUAAUUUCUCAACGGUUACUUAAGUUUCCCGAAGAAGAAGAAAAUCUUUCUUAGAAAUUCGAGGAGGAGAGAUUUUUUUUCGAUAAGGAAGACAGAGUCAUUAAGCGUAAUCCUAUUUCAUAGAAUCAUUCUUUCAUAAAAAAAAAAAAAAAAAGUAAAUGUUUCGGUGAGUGUAUCGGGUAUCGUUCCAAAAAUUAUCCGGAAACGCCUGGUACCUCUUAUAAAUCAGGAUCGGUACACUCUCUCUUUCUACGAUCAUGUCGUUUAGCGAGAAGUUUUCUGGUGGGAAAAAAAGGGAAAAGCACACGAUUGCUAUUUAAAAGGCUCGUAGGUGGGUGGCUUUUUAGCCGAGGUAUAUACCGACGUAGGGAGAGGGCUUCGACUUCGCUCUUCGGCCUCGGUAUGGGGUUGCCGUGCUAUUUUCAGGCCGGUGGCUCGAUGCAGCUGUCGUGUUCUUCGGGUAAACCACCUCUCUUCUAUUCCAUGGUCACUCGCGGGACAAGGUAGAAUGUACAGAUUGGAAUUCUAAAUUCACGAUUCGCAAAUUCGUAAAGGAUGACGCACUUUCGCUAACACUCACCGAAAUUAGACGAUCAUAAUAAAAGAAACAUAGGAUCGCUAUUAGAAUUUCGAACCCUUUUACUUAUUCUUGAAAUCUAUUUCUUUUUUAUCUAUUCUUCUUUCGCAUAAUCAUCUUCAUUUAUCCAUUGUUUUUCUCUUUUCGGUAUUUUUGAUAUUUUCCAUUCUUUAUAAUUUCUCUCUUUCGGGUUCUAGAAAUUUAAAUUUGUAUUAAUCAUAAUCUCUUUUAAUUUUUCUGAAGAAGAAUUUUCUUCGAAUAAUAAAUGAAUAUAUUAUAUUUUUGUAGGAAAUAAUAAAAAAAAAACGAUAAGGAAAAUAGAAUAGUAGAACUAUUUAAGUGAUUGCCUCCAGCAAAGCUACGAAAAGAAGUGCGUGCUGGAGAAUGGAAGACAUGGAUGAAGAAGAUGACAAGAUUCGAAGAUCUUGGCAACGAGCCAGAAGAGAUUUUCAGUCGUCUACGUAUUUCCAACUUUCAUCUUCUAGCCGUCCUCUAGAACCUAGGGUGCAAUGACACCAGGUUUUAGAUGACAAUUUUCUAUUUACAUAGGUUCUUCCAUUGGCUCGCGUACAGACCACGUGCCACACGUGAUCCUCCCUAGUUGAUUCCCUUUCUUCUAUUGCCAUCGUCCAGACAUCUUUAAAGAGGAGAUGAAAAAAAUUAAGGGGACGGAAGAAGAGGAAGUGGACUAGACGAUGAGGGAGCUGAGAUCGUAGCAUUAAACAGUACGCUGGUGGAUUCAUAGAAUUUCGUGAAACCCCCUUGCGUUUUUUAAAUCGGUAUAAUAAAAUAAUAAAUUACUUAAUAAAAAUUAAUAAAAUUAUACAUCAUAUUUAUCAUAUUUUUUUAAGAAAAAAUUAUGUGUUAGCUUGAUAUAUAUGUUAUAGGAAGAAGAAAGAUGAAAAAAGUAGGAAACGAACAAUAUGUAUCUGUGUUAACCUGUGUUCAUUGUAAUAAGAUUAUUGAUAUGUUGAUAUUUUUAAAAGCCUAGUGAUUACCCACACAAAUAUUCGUUCAUGGAAAAGCUGUAGGAGGGGUUAAAGGACAGGAGGGUCGCAGACACCGAGUCACCAGCGGCAACGGGCACGCGACCGACACGCGCCCUUCUUCCGUCUCUUUUCUUCCCAUCUUCCCCUUUUUCUACGCUUCUUUUUCCACAGCAGCUUCCCUUUGCCCGCACAUGUAUUCAUCUCUUAUACGUGAUCAUCUUGAGUUUACGUGCGCGUAUGGGAUGAAAGACUGGUGGUCUGCCACAUGAUUUAAGAUAGCAUAAUUUAGAAAUUAGUCAAGAAAUGUUAAUUGUUUCUGAUAUAAAUAUAAUCAUAAGAGGCCCAUUGAAGAAUCCAGGCACAAGAAGAUUGUACAUGAAUGCUCGUACAACGAUUUUAUCUUGACUGCAACCUUAUCUUUAAGUAGUUUGAUAGCGAUGAAUGUCUACUACGGGUAACAUUAGAAAUCGCUAACCGAAAGAGCUUUGCUUUAAUAGUAAAUAAUAAAGAUCAUUUAAGGAAAUUUAAUCGAGCUAUAUUGAUUUGUUUAAAAAUUAUUAUAUGCCAAUUCCGAAAAAAUAAUUAAGGUCGAUGAAGACGAAAAUGCAAUCCGUCGUCGUAACGAGGGAAAUCGGACAUCUCUAAGUAUAGCUCGUAUUUGCAUGCAGAUCAGGGACGGAUCGUAUUAGGUUGCCAAGCUAUUACAACGUUCAAUCUAUAAAAUUUGUAAUAUUAAAAUUUUUAAUUUAUUUUUUUCAUCUUAUUAUAACAUUUUUAUAAACAAUAGAGUAUCGUCGUUAUCAUGUUACAAUCUUUUCACUCAAUCUAAAAGCGUAAACGUAAAUAUUAUAUUUUGAAUAUUAUAUUUUUUAUUGUUACACACACACAUAUACACAUAUAUAUAGGAAAAUUCAUUCAUGAUGUUUUAACAAUCGCUUAUAUGAACCAUUUCGAUGACGAUUACGAACUUGGCAAUGUUUGGAAAGAAGUACCAUUACACAUGUUACACAACUAAAUUCCUUCUUUGAACUUAGGGAUAUUAAUUUCAAAAUUUCUCAUUGAGAAAUAUUUUUUGCCAUAAUUAGAAAAUAUGUUACACAAAUUUAUAUGAGAAUGAGAUUGACUCCUGUAUAAAAAUGAUCAUUUAUCGUCAUCAUACGGUGAUCGAAUGGAAUUUGCCAAUGAGGAAAAUGAGAAAGCCGUGCCAAGAACGUUUAAUGACACCUUUAUAUAAGACACUUCGUGCUAGUAAAAUGUUAGUGAUAGCUUUUGUUUGUAAACAUACAAUAAUUUGUAAUAAAAAGGAAAAAUGAUACACUGUAAAGAAACAAGAGACAAAAAUUAAUCGAUAAAAAUGAUAAAUAUUUUUGUAUAAGAAAAUAAAAAAAAAAUAAUAGAAAAUAAUAGUGUCGAAUAAUUAUAAUAAAAAAAGAUGAAUUAUAUAUACUUAAUAAUAUUUUAAAUCAGCUUGAAUUCAUAAAAUUGAAACUUUGACUAUUUUGCAAACUUCUGGCCGAUCACCAAUGAUUAACCAUUUAUAAUUACGAGGAUGCCACAUCUUGGCACGUGACACGGCAUUUAUAGAUCGCGACUCAAUUUAAUCGUCGUCGUUUCGAUUAUUUUUCUAACUACCUGUCAUCAGAAGUGUGGAUCCGUGGAUCCAGUCGAUGCCAAUGAUCGAAAAAUAGAUCCAAGCGCAACCUGUUUGAAAUAGCUGGCGUGAAACCUGUAACGACUGCUGCGUGCGUACCGUUAAUAUCAGUACGUUGAACGGUACUAGAUCGGUAUUAGAAUACCGAUGUAUUCAAGAUGAUAUAUGAAUUAAAUGACUAUUAUCUUUGAGAAUAUAUUUUAGAUUCUUUUUAAAUCUAUUAAGUUUUUUAGAUUAGCUUCUAUCAAUAGUUUGAUGGAUUUUUGAAGAUUCUUUGCUAUCAAAAGAAGGAAUUGAUCGCACAUUAAUUGCAAAACUUUCGAUGGCGUUUCUAACCAGGUGAUAAACUGUGAUUCGCGGGGCAAAUGGAGAUUAUAUUCGAAGGUGUCUAAGCUAAAGGGAAGGAAAUCUAAUUAUAGAAGUCGUUGUACCGCGUGCUGAAAGUGGUGGAGGGUGUGAGUACGGGUGCACGAAUGAGAAUCGGUUGCAUUGGGCGGCCAUAAAAUGCAGGCUGCAUCCGCUUGGCGCAGAUGUACUUGGAACGGAGGUCCAGUACCACGACAAAACCAAAAGGAUCGUUUCGAGAUUCUAUACCCUAACUGAUAUCGAGGACAAUGAACUUGAAGUGUACGCGAUAGAAACAGAUUCCACGGAUUCUUAUUCGAUGGAAGAUCGAUCGAAGGAAAGGAAUGCAAGACAGUUGGUUACUCUAAACUAAAAAUCUACUUGAUCGCUUCCAGAUAUCUGGAAACUUUCGCUUCUACAUUCCUCCCAUUAAUGCAGAAGAAUGUUUACCGAUUUUCUGUUGUUAAAUAUGAGAGAUCAAAAGCUGCAAAUAUUUAGAAAAAAGAGAGAUAAAACUAUUUGUACAUGGAUACAAUACUUGUAAUACAUAGUUUCAUCAAGAAUAUCAACUUGGGUGGUUCUCUUAUCACAAGUAGCAUAAGUUCAUUAUGGGUAUUCAUUCAUGAACAGAGAAGCCAUGUGGUUCAUUAAUCCAAAAUACUUCCUGUUUCCACGAUAAAAUAAAAUUGGAUAUUAUUGCAAAGACCUCUCUUAUGAAAUAUUAUAAAGCAAUAAGUUUAUUUUCUUUUUUUUAAAUAACUAUAUAUAUAAAGCGUAUGAAUUUAUUGGUCUGGAGCCAAUGAAAGCAGAUUCCAAUAACGAAAAGUAAUGUUACCUGUCAUUAUAAUUUGUAACCAAAUGAAAAUCAAACUACCUGUGUCACAGUUUUAUACCGAUUAACUGUGACUUACGGGUGACACGUUUAUCGUCAAUCUUACCCGUACGAAUGAUUGGUCAUUUGAGUGCACCAGCUGUGAUAUUUCGCGCACGAUCGGCUCGUGCCGUUUGGACCGUGAUUAUUAUUGUUUCCUUCAUCUUUUUUUUUUCUCUGAAAGUGCGGCGCGUGUGCCCGUGACGUGGCCAUGUAAGGGCUAGGCGGGGGUGCUGGUCGCUAAUUUUAGUACGUCUUCAGGGUUCCUGGAGUCGUCGGCGAAUCGGCAGCUGGUGAUUCAAGACGUAGCCUUGCACGUGGGUACGUGUCUCACCGUUCACGCGCGACGGACAUCCCCCUUCUUGUUUCUCCUCUCUUCGAAGGAGGUCGAUUUGUCCACUCCGUUCACUCCAGAUGUGCUGUGUCUGAACUCACCCAAUAUAUUAGACAUAUUGCUCGAUAUGAAUGAAUUUGAAAUUACUUUCAUUUUUCAAUUUGAAAUUAGAUACGAAAUAUUCAAUUUCUUAGAAUAUUGUUGAAAUAAAUUUUUAAAUUAGAUUUUUUUAUAAAAUUAUUAUUAUGUAUUUUUUAUCGCAUUUAAUUUCUCCAAGAUAUUUUUUUAAUCGAUAUCUUCAAUUCAAAGGCAUUUCUUGAAUCAAAAGGCAGAGAGAAAAGAGAAACGGAGAAGGAAAAGCAAGGAAUGUGUGUCUCUUUGAGAAGGAGUUAAAGGGGAAAUGGAGGAGAGGUAAACGAGAUCUGGCGGCGGCUGGUGCAGCGGAUGUUUGAAGCUGCUGAAAGUGAGGCGGUGGUUCCUUUCGUGUUCUUUCUCUGUCUUUCCUGUUACGUUUCCUUCAUCAGUUAGCCACGAUCGCGGUAAAACAUGGUCCGCGGAGGAAGCACCUCGGCGGAUGUGAUGUUUAGGACAUAGCCCGGACAAAAAAGUCUUUCUGUAUAAAUAGGCAACAGUGGUUGGUCCCAGUAUUUGAUUUUUGACCCAUAUAUUGAUUGCUUAUCAAAACAUAUGUAUUUUUAUGUUCACUUUUUUUUAAUUAAAUGUUCGACUAGAAAUAUUUAUUAUUUCUUUUAUUAAAUUAGAUUUUAAUUUUUUGUAAUAUUAACAACAGAUAAUGAAACUGUAAAUGUAUUGGUAAGACGAUUAAUAAAACUGCACUUGUUGGCUCGCUUCCACUUGUGUUUCGGUAGCCAAUCUUUUUUGACCUGCAACCUGCUAAGUCAAAAAAUACUGUAAUGAUUACAAUAACAAGGGAAAUAAAACUUUUAACGUGAUAAAAUUAAUUAAAAAUAAUUCAUAUUUUUCUUAUUAAUGUAUUUGAUAUUAAAUAUAAGUAUUAAUUAAUACUAUUUAAUAUAAGUAUAUAUUAUAUAUAAGUAAUUGUUAGACAUCGAUGAAAUAUAGUAUAAAAGUACACUAUCAAAUAUAAAUAUAUUUUUAUAAGAUAUACAUGAUAAAUAUUAUUAUCCAAUUAGUAAAAUUAAAAAAUUACAUGACACGUGAAUCGAGACAGAUAUGCCCGACACGUGGUUGUCGAUAUUCCAGGCUCCUGCCGAGAAACUCAGACCUCCCAGUGUCAUCCGACCACCAUGUGCAUGAGUACUCGGUAAAAUCCCUCUCAGGUUUUGAAAUUGUCUUCUAUUUGUCGUACUAUCACCAAAACCGAAUAGUGUGUAAAAAACACAGAGAAAUCGUCCGAAAGACCAACGCACGGAUUACACCUC